UGAAAGCUGGUGAACCUGCGACACAAAUGAAUUUGAAUCAUUAAAAGAAACCAAUAAUUUCGCUUUCAA
rnacentral:tRNA from 1 species